ACCUUUUGUAUAAUGGGUCAGCGAGUUACUUUCAGUGGCGAGGUUAACUGAAUAAGGGAGCCGUAGAGAAAUCGAGUCUGAAUAGGGCGAUAGUCGCUGGGAGUAGACCCGAAACCGGGCGAUCUAGCCAUGUGCAGGAUGAAGGUUGGGUAACACCAACUGGAGGUCCGAACCGGGUAAUGUUGAAAAAUUAUCGGAUGACGUGUGGCUAGGAGUGAAAGGCUAAUCAAGCCCGGAGAUAGCUGGUUCUCCCCGAAAGCUAUUUAGGUAGCGCCUCGUGAAUGAUUACUGGGGGUAGAGCACUGUUUCGGCUAGGGGGCUGUCAUGGCUUACCAAACCGAUGCAAACUCCGAAUACCGGCUAAUUGAAUCACGGGAGACACACGGCGGGUGCUAACGUCCGUCGUGGAGAGGGAAACAACCCAGACCGCCAGCUAAGGUCCCCAAGUACUAGUUAAGUGGGAAACGAUGUGGGAAGGCAUAGACAGCCAGGAGGUUGGCUUAGAAGCAGCCACCCUUUAAAGAAAGCGUAAUAGCUCACUGGUCGAGUCGGCCUGCGCGGAAGAUGUAACGGGGCUAAAACUAGUCACCGAAGCUGCGGAUGUGCGCGAAGGCGCACGUGGUAGGGGAGC
rnacentral:rRNA from 1 species